rnacentral:tRNA from 1 species
GUUUAAAUAGUGUAAUUACAACACUUAACUUUUUCAUUGUUAAAAUCCGUUAGGUUUAAAUU